GGGGCCGUCGUCUAGCUUGGCAGGAUGCCGGCCUGGGGCGCCGGUGGUCCCGGGUUCAAAUCCCGGCGGCCCCACCA
rnacentral:tRNA from 1 species